CGCUCUUCGCGGGGGGAGGCGAACACCAUCUCUAUGGGAAAUAAUCUCGAUGAUAAACAAGGGGGGACCCGGACGCGAAAAGAUGAAUGGAUGGGGCCAGCGCGACGUCACAGCGAGCUGCAGCCAUGAACCUCAAGACCAGGCGCGAGCCAACCUACAAGCGCUCAGUUGUUCUUGACUCGCUCGGUUGAUUGUUGUGGAGAGCGUUUCUAACCGUGGCUGGCAGACACCGGGGUUUCAAUGGAGAGACAUAUAGGCGCAACAGAGCACGUGGCAUAGGUCAGAAUCUGGCCCGUGCGUAUCACCUGUGGCACAAGAGGAUGGGUAGCCUUAGGGGUUGGUUGUUAUCUUUGGUUAUCUAGCUGUAUGAGUGAUAUACAUUCUUCAUAAAGCUAGAUAACCGAAAGUAACAAGAAUCCCAUUACGCUCCUGAAAGGCAUCAAGACCCCCAACACAUAUCCCCCAUACCGCACCACCCCAUUCUACCAUUCACAGCAAAACAAGCAAAGAAAAUAGCUGACAUCAUAGGACACGGAGCAGAAGAAAAAGUCAAACUACCAACACCACCCGUGACAGAAUUCUGGCAAAAUGAGGCUGAAAAACAGGGAGAGGAAGGAGAGGUUGCUGUUGACUCUGCCUCCCUCUUCUCGCCCUCCUCCGCAUCGCCUCUCCCCUCCUCCCCUCCCUCGCUUCAUCCUCAGCUGCCUGCCCCAUUCUCCUGUACCGCGAGACGCAGCCCACGCCACCAUCUUAGGACGACGCACGCUGGCAUGAAAUGGAAGUGAGGACCAGAGAGAGCAGGCAAAUAAUGGUCCAGAACACUGAAAGAGGGCAGAAAAAACAGCAAGCAGUAAUCCAUUGGGAGAAGAGAAGUUGCC